UCAAGCUAUAAAGAGCGUAGGGAGAAUGACUUGGCAUCAGGAGCCGAAGAAGGACGUGACAAGCUGCGAAAAGCUGCGGUUAGGAGCAAAUAUCCAUAGACCCGCAGAUAUCCGAAUGGGGAAACCCGGUACGGCAAUACCGUAUCACUGCAUGGUAAAUACAUAGCCAUGUGGAGGAAACCCUCUGAACUGAAACAUCUAAGUAGGAGGAGGAAGAGAAAGAAACAUCGAUUUCCUAAGUAGCGGCGAGCGAAAGGGAAAGAGGCCAAACCAGAGAUAGCAAUAUCUUUGGGGUUGCGGACUGCAAAAUUGAUUCAAUAUUUUUAGCAGAAGUGUAUGGGAAGACACACCAUAGUAGGUAAUAGUCCUGUAAGCGAAAAGGAUAUUGACAAGGCAGGAUCCAGAGUACCACCGGACACGAGGAACCCGGUGGGAAGCCGGGGGGACCACCCCCCAAGCCUAAAUACUACCUGAUGACCGAUAGUGAAAAGUACAGUGAUGGAAAGUUGAAAAGAACCCCGGAAGGGGAGUGAAAAAGAAUCUGAAACCCUAUGUUUACAAGCUGCUAAAGCACCAUAUGAGUGCGAUAGCGUACUUUUUGUAGAACGGUCCGGCGAGUGUAUGUUGCAAGCGAGGUUAAGGUGUUAAGCACUGAAGCCGAAGGGAGACCGAGUGUGAAUAGCGCGUACAGUUUGCAGUAUACGACCCGAAACCGGGUGACCUAACCAUGGACAGGUUGAAGUGGAAGUAAAAUUCCAUGGAGGACCGAACCCACGUCUGUUGAAAAAGGCGGGGAUGAGCUGUGGUUAGCGGUGAAAUUCCAAUCGAACUCGGAUAUAGCUGGUUCUCAUCGAAAUAGCUUUAGGGCUAGCCUCAGGAUAGUUUAGCGGAGGUAAAGCACUGAAUGGGCUAGGGGGCUUCACGGCUUACCGAACCCUAUCAAACUCUGAAUGCCGCAUAAAUGUUUCCUGGGAGUCAGACUGCGUGAGAUAAGUUUCGUAGUCAAAAGGGAAAGAGCCCAGACCUACAGCUAAGGUCCCUAAAUGAAUUUAAGUGGAAAAGGAUGUGCAGUUGCGUAGACAACUAGGACGUUGGCUUAGAAGCAGCCACUCAUUUAAAGAGUGCGUAAUAGCUCACUAGUCGAGUGAUUGUGCGCCGAAAAUGUAACGGGGCUAAAAUUCAUACCGAAGCUUAGGAAUGAUAGUAAUAUUGUUGGUAGAUGAGCGUUGUGUAAGUCUGCGAAGCUACACCGAAAGGAGUAGUGGAGAUAUCACAAGUGAGAAUGCCGGAAUGAGUAGCGAGAAUUAUGUGAGAAUCAUAAUGGUCGAAAAUCUAAGGUUUCUUGAGGAAGGUUCGUCCGCUCAAGGUAAGCCGGGAGCUAAGGCGAGGCCGAGAGGCGUAGUCGAUGCACAUACGGUAAAGAUUCCGUAGCCACCGAAGUCGUUAAAUACAGGGACACAGGAACAUAGCCCAUCCCCACCGUUGGUUGAGUGGGGCGUAAGGGAGCGAAAAUUAGUAGCGAAGUGGGUGAUUGUACACUGGCGAGAAAAGCUGUAUGAAUUGACAAGGUGCCCGUACCGCAAACCGACACAGGUAGAUGAGGAGAGAAUCCUAAGACCAGCGGGAGAAGUGUUGUUAAGGAACUCGGCAAAAUGACCCCGUAACUUCGGGAUAAGGGGAGCCUACGAGAGUAGGCCGCAGAGAAUAGUCUCAAGCGACUGUUUAGCAAAAACACAGGUCUAUGCUAAAUCGAAAGAUGAUGUAUAUGGGCUGACGCCUGCCCGGUGCUGGAAGGUUAAGGGGAAGUGUUAGAGCAAUCGAAGCACUGAACUUAAGCCCCAGUAAACGGCGGCCGUAACUAUAACGGUCCUAAGGUAGCGAAAUUCCUUGUCAGGUAAGUUCUG
rnacentral:rRNA from 1 species